rnacentral:lncRNA from 1 species
GACGGGCGCCAGGGGGCAACUUCCUACAGGAGGGCGUCCCGUUAGAAUGACAGGGCUUUUGCAAAAGUCUGACACCCGUGGCACAGAGCGCCCCAGAUAUGGAGGGUUUCACAGGCUCAUGUGUGGCUUCUUCAGUCCUCUCUUCAUUCACUCAUGUAUUCAUUUAUUCAACGACAUAUUACUAAGGAACCUCCUUAAGCCGGGAUGCUGAACGUGGAAAAAUAGUUGACUCUUGAACAAUGUGGGGGCUUGGGGCACCAACCCCCUGUGCAGUUGAAAAUCGACAUAUAACUUUGACUCGCCAAAAACUUCACUACAAUAGCCUGCUGCCAACCUGAAGUCUUACCAAUAACAUCAACAGUCAAUUAAACAUAUUACGUAUGUUAUAUGUAUUCUAUGCUGUAGUUUUACAAUAAAGUAAGCUGGAG